UGUUCCCGGGCCUUGUACACACCGCCCGUCACACCACGAAAGCCGGCAACACCCGAAGCCGGUGGCCUAACCCGCAAGGGAGGGAGCCGUCGAGGGUGGGGUCGGUGAUUGGGGUG
rnacentral:rRNA from 1 species